UCUUAACGCGAUCGAGCAUAAAGAAUGCCAUUCGCAACUAAUAAGUGUAAUAGAAGUCCGAAUCCUCUGUAUUAGUUCAAAUUGAACUUUUCUUUAAUUGAUUACACCGUUUCUGAUAACGAAUUAAAACAUCCAAAGUUGUUGUUUUAGACGUUCACCACAGUACAUGACAAGCUUCAGUGACUUUAGAAAAUUGGUCAUCCUGUCGGCACCUGUUUUGAUGUAAAUUUAGGAAAAUAUCUUGGUUUUCUUAACCAUCGAUGGAUAUCAUUCGUUGUAUAUUUAAUAAUUACGGGAAAACAUUUAUUAAGGAAAGUCAGGAAGAUCGUAUUGAUAAUAAAUUUUCUGGCAGACAUA